rnacentral:rRNA from 1 species
GGAAGGAUCAUUAUCGUAUUAUAAACUUGAACAGGCUGUUGCUGGCCCCUCUGGGGUGUGUGCACGCUUGUCUCAUUUUUAUUAUUUUUCCAACUUGUGCACCUCAUGUAGAUCCCUCGAGCCUUUGUAUGAAUGUUCUCAUUCGAGUAGGGACUGCUGUUGCUUUUCUUUGAAAGGCCAGCUUUGCCUUUUGCUCUUGGGGUUCUAUGUCCAUCUAUCACAAACGAGUUUAGAAUGUCUAUAAUGAAAAAAGUGAAAUAUAUACAACUUUCAGCAACGGAUCUCUUGGCUCUCGCAUCGAUGAAGAACGCAGCGAAAUGCGAUAAGUAAUGUGAAUUGCAGAAUUCAGUGAAUCAUCGAAUCUUUGAACGCACCUUGCGCUCCUUGGUAUUCCGAGGAGCAUGCCUGUUUGAGUGUCAUUUGACUUAUCAAACCACCUCGUCUGCUUGGUGGCUUUGGAUGUGGGGGUCUUUGCAGGCUUUGAACAAAGGUCGGCUCCCCUGAAACGCAUUAGUGGCAUCUGAGCUGCUACUAUAGGUGUGAUAAAUUAUCUAUGCCUUUGGUACGCCGCAUGAACGGAUCGUGCUGCUCACAACGAAAAAAAUAACUUUGACAAACUUGACCUCAAAUCAGGUAGGACUACCCGCUGAACUUAAGCAUAUCAAUAAGCGGAGGAAAAGAAACUAACAAGGAUUCCCCUAGUAACUGCGAGUGAAGCGGGAAGAGCUCAAAUUUGAAAUCUGGCGGUCCCUUGGGCUGUCCGAGUUGUAAUCUAGAGAAGUGCUACCUGUGCUGGACCGUGUACAAGUCUCCUGGAAUGGAGCAUCACAGAGGGUGAGAAUCCCGUCUUUGACACGGACUGCCUGUGCGAUAUGGUGCGCUCUCGAAGAGUCGAGUUGUUUGGGAAUGCAGCUCAAAACGGGUGGUAAAUGCCAUCUA